AUUGAACGCUGGCGGCAUGCUUUACACAUGCAAGUCGAACGGCAGCACGGGGGCAACCCUGGUGGCGAGUGGCGAACGGGUGAGUAAUGCAUCGGAACGUGUCCUUAAGUGGGGGAUAAC
rnacentral:rRNA from 1 species